AAUGAUGUGCCUGAAAAAAAGGAUUAUUUUGAUAGAAUAAAUUAUAUAAAUUUUUAUCUUCAUUA
rnacentral:tRNA from 1 species